AUUCAGGCAGCCUCCUGGAAUAAAGGAAACGUAUUACCCAUCAGCCUCCCCAAUCUAGCUCCUAUCACAUCGUCUUUUCUCUGGGCCCUGCCUGACUCUGUGUGCAAAGAAAACAUUUCGGAUCAGCUCCCUGUGUUUGGUCCUGUGCUGGAUGACAAGGAGUUGGAGCCAUUGCCAGCACUGCCCUUAACCACCGUACCUGCAGCUCUCAUGGUGCAAGCUACAGAGGAAGAAAAGGCUCCUGGCUUCUGAACGAAACCAAAGUAACUGUUUCCUGAAUUUUAGCUAAAUCGUCACCAC
rnacentral:lncRNA from 1 species